UACGUAGGGGGCAAGCGUUGUCCGGAAUUAUUGGGCGUAAAGAGCUCGUAGGCGGUUUGUCACGUCGGCUGUGAAACCCUGGGGCUCAACCCCGGGCCUGCAGCCGAUACGGGCUGACUAGAAUUCGGUAGGGGAGUCUGGAAUUCCUGGUGUAGCGGUGAAAUGCGCAGAUAUCAGGAGGAACACCGGUGGCGAAGGCGGUUCUCUGGGCAUUACCUGACGCUGAGGAGCGAAAGUGUGGGGAGCGAACAGG
rnacentral:rRNA from 1 species